rnacentral:rRNA from 1 species
UCGCCGAAAGCCCAAGGUUUCCUGCGCAACGUUAAUCGGCGCAGGGUGAGUCGGCUCCUAAGGCGAGGCCGAAAGGCGUAGUCGAUGGACAACAGGCUAAUAUUCCUGUACCGCGCAUAACUGCGAUGGGGGGACGGAGAAGGCUAAGUCGGCCGGGUGUCGGAUGUCCCGGUGAAAGCGUGUAGGGAGUGCUCCCAGGAAAAUCCGGGAGUGCAAUCCCGAGACGUGAUGACGAGCUCCAUUUGGAGCGAAGCGGCUGAUGCCAUGCUUCCAGGAAAAUCCUCUAAGCCUCAGGUUAUGUGCGACCGUACCCCAAACCGACACAGGUGGGCGGGGUGAGAAGCCCAAGGCGCUUGAGAUAACUCGGGUGAAGGAACUCGGCAAAAUGACACCGUAACUUCGGGAGAAGGUGUGCCCCCGGUUGGUGAAGGCCCUCGCGGCCGGAGCCCGAAGGGGUUGCAACAAAGAGGUGGCUGCGACUGUUUACUAAAAACAUAGCACUCUGCGAACUCGCAAGAGGAAGUAUAGGGUGUGACGCCUGCCCGGUGCCGGAAGGUUAAAUGAUGGGGUUAGCCGCUUGCGGCGAAGCUCUUGAUUGAAGCCCCGGUGAACGGCGGCCGUAACUAUAACGGUCCUAAGGUAGCGAAAUUCCUUGUCGGGUAAGUUCCGACCUGCACGAAUGGCGUAACGAUGGCCACACUGUCUCCACCCGGGACUCAGCGAAAUUGAAAUUGCUGUGAAGAUGCAGUGUACCCGCACCAAGACGGAAAGACCCCGUGAACCUUUACUACAACUUCACACUGGACUUUGAAUAUGUCUGUGUAGGAUAGGUGGGAGGCUGUGAACCCGGAACGCCAGUUCCGGUGGAGCCAAUCUUGAAAUACCACCCUGAUAUCUUCGGGGCCCUAACUGUGGUCCGUCAUCCGGAUCCGGAACAGUGUGUGGUGGGUAGUUUGACUGGGGCGGUCUCCUCCCAAAGAGUAACGGAGGAGCGCGAAGGUGCUCUAAGCACGGUCGGAAAUCGUGCGGUUUGUGCAAAGGCACAAGGGCGCUUGACUGCGAGACAGACAAGUCGAGCAGGUGGGAAACCAGGUCUUAGUGAUCCGGUGGUUCUGUAUGGAAGGGCCAUCGCUCAACGAAUAAAAGGUACUCCGGGGAUAACAGGCUGAUACCGCCCAAGAGUUCAUAUCGACGGCGGUGUUUGGCACCUCGAUGUCGGCUCAUCACAUCCUGGGGCUGUAGCCGGUCCCAAGGGUAUGGCUGUUCGCCAUUUAAAGUGGUACGCGAGCUGGGUUUAGAACGUCGUGAGACAGUUUGGUCCCUAUCUGGUGUGGGCGCUGGAGACUUGAGAGGAGCUGCUCCCAGUACGAGAGGACCGGAGUGGACGAUCCUCUGGUGUUCCGGUUGUCACGCCAGUGGCACUGCCGGGUAGCUAUGAUCGGACGGGAUAACCGCUGAAAGCAUCUAAGCGGGAAGCCUCCCUCAAGAUGAAGUCUCCCCGGACCUUCGAGGUCCCUGAAGGCUCGUCGUAGACCACGACGUGAUAGGCGGGGUGUGAAAGCGCGGUAACGCGUUGAGCUAACCCGUACUAAUAGGCCGUGCGACUUGACCAU